UGGUAAAUUUUUGGUCACUUUUUGCUUUACACAGCAUUCCAUAAUCCAAACCUUUAAGCAGGCUGCAGCAUAUCGGAGCCCCAUCACGGCGGCUGCACUCCGGUGAGGUGGGGGUUAGAAAGUAGGAUGUCGGAGUGGAAGGCGAGAGAGGGAGAAGUGGAUAUUACCCAAACAAACAUUUGAGCCAUUUUCACUCUCUUACGAAGUGUAGACCUGGUAAAACGCUCUGGUUUGGUUGUGCAGACCCCCUCUCGACACCUCAAAAUGCAGCGGCUCGCUCCUCUUGAAUAGCCUCUCCUCUCUUUCGACGUAGCGAUUUGCGUCAGCUUGUCUCUCCUCCACUGAGGAUACAGAGCGAGGCAGCAGGCCGGGACAGUGACGAAGACCCCAAAAGAGCAUUCUUAAAAAAAAAAGUGCAAAUGUGAGCUGGGGUGGAACACAAAACGUCCACGCUCAUGCUUUGCAUCUGUGAGCUUCAGAACAAAGGGAAACACUCUAAACCAACAUCCUGGGUAUAAAUUUGCAAAACGCAAUACAGGCCUGAUUGUGUGUCGAGUGGAUGUGGGAUGCAUACGAAUAGACCAAUGUGCCCCUUCCUCUCUCCUCCUCUGCCACAAAAUAGAACAACUCUUUCUCUCUUCCCCGGUGUUCUGAUGCAGCCAAAGAAGCUGGACAUCUCCCGAGUGUCUGAUGGAUCAGAGUUCUUCCAAUCUGCAGAAACGGCAUCGCUUUUCUCCAGCCAUUUGGGUGAAAGAGAGAGAAGAAAAGAAGAAAAACUGAAGAAAGUUGUGCCAGUGUACGUGUGUGAUACACGUCAACCUUUGAUUAACGAGGUGAGGCAGACACACAAGUACCCUGGUUUUGGAGGCCUCCAUCCAACAACUCACCACCCUUGAUUGGACUAACUUUUUUUUUUUCAGUCCCUCAGUCAGUCCCUGCCUGACUUUCCCCAUCUCUCCCCUCCUUCCCCCACCCACCCUAUGCCUCUUUCUUUUGAGAUCUACCCAAGAGAUGAAAAAUGGCAUGCAGCUGGCCAAGCACUUCCUUCCUCUUGUCGGGGUCAGCAGUUCACAAUGCUGAUAGAGACCCACACACACCUCCAUUAAUAAGAGCCCCCCUGCACUCACACAGGUCGCUUUACUGCAUCGGUGGACAACCAUCACAUUUGUCUUCAUUUUAAACUUGUGCUUCUCCUGGUGUUCAGACUAGAACUGCGUGUUUGUAUGUAUGUGUGAGUGUGUGUGUGUGUGUGUGUGUGU